CUGCCAUUCGCUGCUCUGCCUCAGACAACAAAUUGUCUUGGGAAAGCCUAAGAGGAAGAAUGGAUUGUAGUUGCUAGAGAAACAGGAAGAGGAUUGCAUUCCUAGCCUACUCAGGGGCUUUUUGUCGCCAUUGCAUAGACAUAAUCUUGGAUCUGAUAGGCUAAGGAGAUUAAUGCCACGAUUACUGCUUAUCGUGAAGGAUAAUGAUGGUGGUCCCUAGGAUUUAAACUAGCUCAAAACUACCAAAAUGGAGUAAAGCAGAAAGGAACACAUUAAUAUAGUUCCUUUCAUCUGUUA
rnacentral:lncRNA from 11 species